GACGAACGCUGGCGGCGUGGAUUAGGCAUGCAAGUCGCGCGACGGGUAGGAUUCGUCCUACUACGGAGCGGCGAACGGGUGAGUAACACGUGAGGAACCUGUCCCUACAUUCCGGAUAAUUGGCCGAAAGGCCUUGUAAUACGGGGGGAGGGUCUUUGAGGGGCAUCCCUUAAAGAAGGAACGAGCAAUCGGUGCAGGGAGGGUCUCGCGGCCUAUCAGCUUGUUGGUGGGGUAAAGGCCUACCAAGGCGACGACGGGUAGCUGGUCUGAGAGGAUGGUCAGCCACAUUGGAACUGAGACACUGUCCAGACUCCUACGGGAGGCUGCAGUCGAGAAUCUUGGUCAAUGCACGAAAGUGUGAACCAGCGACGCCGCGUGAAAGGAUGAAGGGACCUCUGGUUCGUUAAACUUUCGUUUUUAGGGGGGAAAGAAGUGGGCUUUUAUGUCCUUUGACGGUAUCCCCCUGAAUAAGCCACGGCUAACUACGUGCCAGCAG
rnacentral:rRNA from 1 species